rnacentral:rRNA from 1 species
UGAACGCUGGCGGCAGGCUUAACACAUGCAAGUCGAGCGGUAACAGAUCCAGCUUGCUGGAUGCUGACGAGCGGCGGACGGGUGAGUAACGCGUAGGAAUCUACCCAGUAGCGGGGGAUAGCCCGGGGAAACCCGGAUUAAUACCGCAUACGCCCUAUGGGGGAAAGCAGGGGAUCUUCGGACCUUGCACUAUUGGAUGAGCCUGCGUCGGAUUAGCUAGUUGGUGGGGUAAAGGCCUACCAAGGCGACGAUCCGUAGCUGGUCUGAGAGGAUGAUCAGCCACACCGGGACUGAGACACGGCCCGGACUCCUACGGGAGGCAGCAGUGGGGAAUAUUGGACAAUGGGGGCAACCCUGAUCCAGCCAUGCCGCGUGUGUGAAGAAGGCUUUCGGGUUGUAAAGCACUUUCAGUGAGGAGGAAAUGGUGACUGUUAAUAGCGGUCACAAUUGACGUUACUCACAGAAGAAGCACCGGCUAACUCC